rnacentral:rRNA from 1 species
GACGAACGCUGGCGGCGUGCUUAACACAUGCAAGUCGAACGGAAAGGCCCUGCUUUUGUGGGGUGCUCGAGUGGCGAACGGGUGAGUAACACGUGAGUAACCUGCCCUUGACUUUGGGAUAACUUCAGGAAACUGGGGCUAAUACCGGAUAGGAGCUCCUGCUGCAUGGUGGGGGUUGGAAAGUUUCGGCGAUUGGGGAUGGACUCGCGGCUUAUCAGCUUGUUGGUGGGGUAGUGGCUUACCAAGGCUUUGACGGGUAGCCGGCCCGAGAGGGUGACCGGCCACAUUGGGACUGAGAUACGGCCCAGACUCCUACGGGAGGCAGCAGUGGGGAAUAUUGCACAAUGGGCGGAAGCCUGAUGCAGCAACGCCGCGUGCGGGAUGACGGCCUUCGGGUUGUAAACCGCUUUCGCCUGUGACGAAGCGUGAGUGACGGUAAUGGGUAAAGAAGCACCGGCUAACUACGUG